ACUGGUCUUCCGUCAAGGGUAUACAAGUAGCUGUGCUCCCCUGCUAGAACUUCCAAACAAGCUCUCAAGGUCCAUUGUAGGAAAGUAGGGUAGUAAAGC
rnacentral:sRNA from 14 species